rnacentral:rRNA from 1 species
UACGUAGUUGGCGAGCGUUGUCCGGAUUUACUGGGUGUAAAGGGCGCGUAGGCGGGGCUGCAAGUCAGAUGUGAAAUCUCCGGGCUUAACCCGGGAACUGCAUUUGAAACUGUAGUUCUUGAGUAUCGGAGAGGCAGGCGGAAUUCCGUGUGUAGCGGUGAAAUGCGUAGAUAUACGGAAGAACACCAGUGGCGAAGGCGGCUUGCUGGACGACAACUGACGCUGAGGCGCGAAAGCGUGGGGAGCAAAC